AUUGAACGCUGGCGGCAUGCCUUACACAUGCAAGUCGAACGGCAGCACGGGAGCUUGCUCCUGGUGGCGAGUGGCGAACGGGUGAGUAAUACAUCGGAACGUACCCAGGAGUGGGGGAUAACGUAGCGAAAGUUACGCUAAUACCGCAUAUUCUGUGAGCAGGAAAGCGGGGGAUCGCAAGACCUCGCGCUCUUGGAGCGGCCGAUGUCGGAUUAGCUAGUUGGUGAGGUAAAAGCUCACCAAGGCGACGAUCCGUAGCAGGUCUGAGCGGAUGAUCUGCCACACUGGGACUGAGACACGGCCCAGACUCCUACGGGAGGCAGCAGUGGGGAAUUUUGGACAAUGGGGGCAACCCUGAUCCAGCCAUGCCGCGUGAGUGAAGAAGGCCUUCGGGUUGUAAAGCUCUUUCGGCGGGGAAGAAAUGGCAACGGCUAAUAUCCGUUGUUGAUGACGGUACCCGCAUAAGAAGCACCGGCUAACUACGUGCCAGCAGCCGCAGUAAAAC
rnacentral:rRNA from 1 species